rnacentral:rRNA from 1 species
AUUGAACGCUGGCGGCAGGCCUAACACAUGCAAGUCGAACGGUAGCAGGAAGUGCUUGCACUUUGCUGACGAGUGGCGGACGGGUGAGUAAUGCUUAGGGAUCUGCCUUCGGGAGGGGGAUAACAGUUGGAAACGACUGCUAAUACCGCAUAACACCUACGGGUCAAAGGGGGCUUCGGCUCUCGCCUGAAGAUGAACCUAAGUGAGAUUAGCUAGUUGGUGAGGUAAAGGCUCACCAAGGCGACGAUCUCUAGCUGGUCUGAGAGGAUGACCAGCCACACUGGGACUGAGACACGGCCCAGACUCCUACGGGAGGCAGCAGUGGGGAAUAUUGGACAAUGGGGGCAACCCUGAUCCAGCCAUGCCGCGUGUGUGAAGAAGGCCUUCGGGUUGUAAAGCACUUUCAGACGUGAGGAAAGGUUAGUAGUUAAUACCUGCUAGCUGUGACGUUAGCGUCAGAAGAAGCACCGGCUAACUCCGUGCCAGCCGCCGCGGUAACAC